rnacentral:misc_RNA from 1 species
UUUCCGUAGGUGAACCUGCGGAAGGAUCAUUAAAGAGAAUAUGCCCUUCGGGGUAUAUCUCCCACCCGUUGUUUAUAUUACCUUUGUUGCUUUGGCAGGUCCGUCUUCGGACCACCGGCUUCUGCUGGUCAGUACUUGCCAGAGGACCCAAAACUCUUAUUAUUAAUGUCGUCUGAGUACUAUAUAAUAGUUAAAACUUUCAACAACGGAUCUCUUGGUCCUG